rnacentral:rRNA from 1 species
UACGAAGGGGGCUAGCGUUGCUCGGAUUGACUGGGCGUAAAGGGCGCGUAGGCGGUUCGUACAGUCAGACGUGAAAUUCCUGGGCUCAACCUGGGGGCUGCGUUUGAUACGUGCGGACUUGAGUGCGGAAGAGGGUCGUGGAAUUCCCAGUGUAGAGGUGAAAUUCGUAGAUAUUGGGAAGAACACCGGUGGCGAAGGCGGGCGACCUGGUCCGAUACUGACGCUGAGGCGCGAAAGCGUGGGGAGCAAACAGG